AUACGGAGGAUGCAAGCGUUAUCCGGAUUUAUUGGGUUUAAAGGGUGCGUAGGCGGGACUGUAAGUCAGGGGUGAAAUACUGCAGCUUAACUGUAGCAUUGCCUUUGAAACAGCCGUUCUUGAGUACAGUUGAGGUAGGCGGAAUGUGGUGUGUAGCGGUGAAAUGCAUAGAUAUACCACAGAACGCCGAUUGCGAAGGCAGCUUACUAAGCUGUUACUGACGCUGAGGCACGAAAGCGUGGGAUCAAACAGGAUUAGAUACCCCGGUAGUCCACGCUGUAAACGAUGAUUACUGGUUGUUAGCGAUAUAUAGCUAGUGACUGAGCGAAAGCAUUAAGUAAUCCACCUGGGGAGUACGUCGGCAACGAUGAAACUCAAAGGAAUUGACGGGG
rnacentral:rRNA from 1 species